AGGUAAAAACGGUAUUUUGUUUACAUUAUUUACAUCCAAUAUUUCUACGGAGCUGAAGUGAGACGACUAUGGAUUUUAGUUUUUGGAUUAUAGAAGUGUUUAUUUAGUUCAUUAUCAUGAUAACUUAGUGAGUUGUAAACAGAAAAUGUGUCACAUGCAAGCCAAAUGAAUCAACUUAAAUGAGGAUGGACACUAAAAUCUACCAUGUCUACACAAAAAUUAAAAUAUUCAUACCAGACAGAUGACAGAGACAAUGCUUGAAAUAUUUAAAUUUCGCAAAAGAAGAG